rnacentral:rRNA from 1 species
AAUCAACGCUGGCGGCGUGCCUCAGACAUGCAAGUCGAACGAUUAAAGCCCUCUUCGGAGGGUGCAUAAAGUGGCGCACGGGUGAGUAACACGUAGGUAAUCUACCUUCGAGUGGGGAAUAACGUUCGGAAACGAACGCUAAUACCGCAUAAUGCAGCGGCAUCUAUGAUGACAGUUGUUAAAGAUUUAUCUCUUGAAGAGGAGCUUGCGGCAGAUUAGCUAGUUGGUAAGGUAACGGCUUACCAAGGCGACGACCUGUAUCCGGUCUAAGAGGACGGUCGGACACACUGACACUGAAUAACGGGUCAGACUCCUACGGGAGGCAGCAGUCGGGAAUUUUGGGCAAUGGGCGAAAGCCUGACCCAGCAACGCCGCGUGAAGGACGAAGUUUUUCGGAAUGUAAACUUCGUAAGAAUAGGAAGAAUAAAUGACGGUACUAUUUAUAAGCUCCGGCUAACUACGUGCCAGCCGCCGCCGUAAUAC